rnacentral:tRNA from 1 species
GUGGAGUGCGGCGGCUUGCCGCCGCGCUUGGCGCGCGGCCCAUGCGGGAGCAGGCUCCCGCACUCCAAA